AGCGAACGCUGGCGGCAGGCCUAACACAUGCAAGUCGAACGAACCUUUCGGGGUUAGUGGCGGACGGGUGAGUAACACGUGGGAACGUGCCUUUAGGUUCGGAAUAACUCAGGGAAACUUGUGCUAAUACCGAAUGUGCCCUUCGGGGGCAAGAUUUAUCGCCGUUAGAGCGGCCCGCGUCUGAUUAGCUAGUUGGUUGAGGUAAUGGCUCACCAAGGCGACGAUCAGUAGCUGGUCUGAGAGGAUGAUCAGCCACAUUGGGACUGAGACACGGCCCAAACUCCUACGGGAGGCAGCAGUGGGGAAUCUUGCGCAAUGGGCGAAAGCCUGACGCAGCCAGGCCGCGUGAAUGAUGAAGGUCUUAGGAUUGUAAAAUUCUUUCACCGGGGACGAUAAUGACGGUACCCGGAGAAGAAGCCCCGGCUAACUUCGUG
rnacentral:rRNA from 1 species